AGUGAACGCUGGCGGCAGGCCUAACACAUGCAAGUCGAACGGCAGCACAGUAAGAGCUUGCUCUUACGGGUGGCGAGUGGCGGACGGGUGACGAAUACAUCGGAAUCUUCUCUUUCGUGGGGGAUAACGUAGGGAAACUUACGCUAAUACCGCAUACGACCUACGGGUGAAAGCAGUGGAUCUUCGCACCUUUGGCGAUUGAAUGAGCCGAUGUCGGAUUAGCUGGUUGGCAGGGUAAAGGCCCACCAAGGCGACGAUCCGUAGCUGGUCUGAGAGGAUGAUCAGCCACACUGGAACUGAGACACGGUCCAGACUCCUACGGGAGGCAGCAGUGGGGAAUAUUGGGCAAUGGGCGCAAGCCUGAUCCAGCCAUACCGCGUGGGUGAAGAAGGCCUUCGGUUUGUAAAGCCCUUUUGUUGGGAAAGAAAAGCAGCAGGUUAAUACCCCGCUGUUCUGACGGUACCCAAAGAAUAAGCACCGGCUAACUUCGUG
rnacentral:rRNA from 1 species